GGCGGUUCCUGCCGACUGCCGGGGGCUUGCGGAGCGUGAAGCCGAGCGGCGCUAGGACCGCGGCAGAGGCGGCUCGGCAGCAGCGCCGCCAGAUCCAGUUCCAGGUGCCGAACCGAACGCGGAGCCAGGAGACAUCCUCGAAAUGAAACAUCUGCUGCCUGCUAACAGCAUGAUGAAGACUCCAAACUUUCCCAUCAACCACACGCUCUCCUGGAAUACAUCACUCCACCGUUAUCUUCCUCUAUAUUCCAGAACUGAAUUCUCAUGACCUUUAACCUCCAGUCACUUCCCCAAAUUGGAAUGUGUAGGGCAGCAGUGAACUGCAUAACCGGACCUAACAUGCUUACGAAAACGUCUCCCACUUUUUCAUUUUCAACCUCUCCAUUACAAGUAUUCCCAUCCUUAAGCUUGGAUAUAGCUCUAUUUCAUUCAUAUAUCCAAUCUGAGAUCCUCUUUCAUUAUUAGGUGAGUUAAAUCAUUUAUAUUCAGUGUGAGCUUUUGGCCUUCUCUCUAAAGCAGUGAGUCUUUUUUUUUUUUUUUUUUUUUUUUUUUUAAUGGGACAAAGUCUCGCUCUGUUGCUCAGGCUGGAGUACAGUGGGGCGCGGUCUUGGCUCACUGCAACCUCCACCUCCUGGGUUCAAGUGAUUCUCCUGCAUCAGCCUCCCGAGUAGCUGGGAUUACAGGCAUGCACCACCACACCUGGCUAAUUUUUGUAUUUUUAGUA
rnacentral:lncRNA from 1 species